GGGCCAGACUCCUACGGGAGGCAGCAGUGAGGAAUAUUGGUCAAUGGGCGAGAGCCUGAACCAGCCAAGUCGCGUGAGGGAAGACGGUCCUAUGGAUUGUAAACCUCUUUUGCCGGGGAGCAAAAAGCGGUACGUGUACCGCAUCGAGAGUACCCGGAGAAAAAGCAUCGGCUAACUCCGUGCCAGCAGCCGCGGUAAUACGGAGGAUGCGAGCGUUAUCCGGAUUUAUUGGGUUUAAAGGGUGCGUAGGCGGGCUGUUAAGUCAGCGGUAAAAUGUCGGGGCUCAACCCCGGCCUGCCGUUGAAACUGGCAGUCUCGAGUUGGAGAGAAGUAUGCGGAAUGCGCGGUGUAGCGGCGAAAUGCAUAGAUAUCGCGCAGAACUCCGAUUGCGAAGGCAGCAUGCCGGCUCCACACUGACGCUGAGGCACGAAAGCGUGGGUAUCGAACAGGAUUAGAUACCCUUGUAC
rnacentral:rRNA from 1 species